UGGGGAAUAUUGCACAAUGGGCGCGAGCCUGAUGCAGCCAUGCCGCGUGUAUGAAGAAGGUCUUCGGGUUGUAAAGUACUUUCAGCGGGGAGGAAGGGAGUAAAGUUAAUACCUUUGCUCAUUGACGUUACCCGCAGAAGAAGCACCGGCUAACUCCGUGCCAGCAGCCGCGGUAAUACGGAGGGUGCAAGCGUUAAUCGGAAUUACUGGGCGUAAAGCGCACGCAGGCGGUUUGUUAAGUCAGAUGUGAAAUCCCCGGGCUCAACCUGGGAACUGCAUCUGAUACUGGCAAGCUUGAGUCUCGUAGAGGGGGGUAGAAUUCCAGGUGUAGCGGUGAAAUGCGUAGAGAUCUGGAGGAAUACCGGUGGCGAAGGCGGCCCCCUGGACGAAGACUGACGCUCAGGUGCGAAAGCGUGGGGAGCAAACAGG
rnacentral:rRNA from 1 species